GUGCUUAGCCUGAGGACAACUCAGAGUCCAGCAAGGAGGGCUGGGAUUCACACUGAGCACGUGUGUCUGCCCAGGCUUGGGAUGUUUUCUGGGAUGGACUACCUGAAAUUCAUCACGUCCACAUCCGUGUGUGUGAAAGUGCAUGACAAGAACAUUGGAUGAUGUCACAUAUCUUCCUCUACAAAUAUACAUGCUGUUAUAUGAGA